UACGUAGGGAGCAAGCGUUGUUCGGAUUUACUGGGCGUAAAGGGCGCGUAGGCGGCAGAUCAAGUCAGCUGUGAAAUCUCCGAGCUUAACUCGGAACUGUCAGCUGAUACUGUUUUGCUAGAGUGCGGAAGGGGCAAUCGGAAUUCUUGGUGUAGCGGUGAAAUGCGUAGAUAUCAAGAGGAACACAUGAGGUGAAGACGGGUUGCUGGGCCGACACUGACGCUGAGUGCGCGAAAGCCAGGGGAGCAAACGGG
rnacentral:rRNA from 1 species